rnacentral:sRNA from 1 species
UCAAUAUGUACCGCAGGGACGCGCCAGUAGUCAUUGAUUUUUAUUACGUGCCAGAACUCAAUCCUGAGUUAACUGAGGGGGUAGCGAGUGAGUAUAGCUAUUAUCAUCGGCACACAC